AGAGAGAGAGAGAGAGAGAGAGAGAGAGAUGCAGCCCUAUUGUCUCCUCUGCAGUCCGUUUCUCUGUCCAGGCCAAACCUCCACUUCUGCUAUGUCACAUGAAAACUGCAAAUCAAAGGUUGGACCGUUCAUGAGGGAUGAGUUCCAUCAGCGCCUCGCCGCCUGAGCCCUCCAGUCCCAGCGCCGUCCCAACGGAGAGGCCGUCCGUAACGGGUCAGCAUACAGAUUGGAAACAAUGAGAGAUUCCCACUUCAGCACGAACCGCAUUGUGUGUACAUGUUAUAUUUACACAUGUGCACCGACACGGCCAAACACACGCACACGCCCACGCACACGCCCACGCACGUGCACACGCACACGCACACGCAGGCAUGGGACGGUCUCCUAAGGAGUCCUCCUCCCGGGUCCCGGGGCAGCAGACCGGCUCAGACCGGAUCAGACCGCGGGCCGUCAGGAGACGGGCCAGACCAGCCCCGACCCGCAGACUGAACCGUGAGACAGGAAGGAAGGCCGAGAGAGAACAGAGGACCUGGGAUAGGGUGAGGGGCAGGGUGAGGUGAGGGGAGGGGUGAGGGUGAGGGUGAGGUGAGGGGGAGGAUGAGGGAGAGGUGAGGUGAGGGUGAGGGUGAGGUGAAGGUGAGGUGAGGGUGAGGUAAGGGUGAGGGUUGAACAGGGGGCGCGACAGAGAGAGACGAUGCCGCGGAAAUAGAAAGAAAAAUCUGGCAGAAAGAAAGGCAGGACCCUGUGGGGAAGACCCGGUCCGGCCCCCCGUCCGGCCCCCGGUCCGGCCCCCCGUCCGGCCCCCGGUCCGGCCCCCGUCCGGCCCCCGGUCCGGCCCCUGGUCCAUCCAGUCGGGGCCCCUCCCCGGGCCCUGUGGCCGGGCGCUGUGCAGCACCCUUUGGGUCAG
ensembl:lncRNA